GAUGAAGAACGCAGCGAAAUGCGAUAAGUAGUGUGAAUUGCAGAAUUCAGUGAAUCAUCGAAUCUUUGAACGCACAUUGCGCCCUUUGGUAUUCCAAAGGGCAUGCCUGUUCGAGCGUCAUUUGUAGCCUCAAGCUUUGCUUGGUGUUGGGCGUCUUGUCUCUAGCUUUGCUGGAGACUCGCCUUAAAGUAAUUGGCAGCCGGCCUACUGGUUUCGGAGCGCAGCACAAGUCGCACUCUCUAUCAGCAAAGGUCUAGCAUCCAUUAAGCCUUUUUUUCAACUUUUGACCUCGGAUCAGGUAGGGAUACCCGCUGAACUUAAGCAUAUCAAUAGCGGAGGA
rnacentral:misc_RNA from 1 species